rnacentral:snRNA from 1 species
AAAUAGCCCUGAUGGGAGCGGCAUCCUUUUUUUCUACACCUGACGGGUUUCAAAAACCCGUCAGGUUUAAGAAAAAAAGAUACAGUGUACAGCAGGAGGGAU